GCGUGAGUGAUGAAGGCCUUCGGGUCGUAAAACUCUUUUCAAGGGGAAGAGGAAGGACGGUACCCUUGGAAUAAGCAUCGGCUAACUACGUGCCAGCAGCCGCGGUAACACGUAGGAUGCGAGCGUUAUCCGGAUUUACUGGGCGUAAAGAGCUCGUAGGCGGCUUGUCGCGUCUGCUGUGAAAACCCGAGGCUCAACCUCGGGCUUGCAGUGGGUACGGGCAGGCUAGAGUGCGGUAGGGGAGAUUGGAAUUCCUGGUGUAGCGGUGGAAUGCGCAGAUAUCAGGAGGAACACCAAUGGCGAAGGCAGAUCUCUGGGCCGUAACUGACGCUGAGGAGCGAAAGCAUGGGGAGCGAACAGGAUUAGAUACCCUGGUAGUCCAUGCCGUAAACGUUGGGAACUAGAUGUAGGGCCUGUUCCACGGGUUCUGUGUCGUAGCUAACGCAUUAAGUUCCCCGCCUGGGGAGUACGGCCGCAAGGCU
rnacentral:rRNA from 1 species